rnacentral:rRNA from 1 species
UACGAAGGGGGCUAGCGUUGCUCGGAAUCACUGGGCGUAAAGCGCACGUAGGCGGCUUCUUAAGUCAGGGGUGAAAUCCUGGAGCUCAACUCCAGAACUGCCUUUGAUACUGAGGAGCUUGAGUCCGGGAGAGGUGAGUGGAACUGCGAGUGUAGAGGUGAAAUUCGUAGAUAUUCGCAAGAACACCAGUGGCGAAGGCGGCUCACUGGCCCGGUACUGACGCUGAGGUGCGAAAGCGUGGGGAGCGAACGGG